ensembl:lncRNA
CCCUUUCUCUCAUUGGGCAGAUUGAAGUGAAGCCGUACAGUUCAACGCAGCAGGAGGGAAGAGAUUUCUCGGCCCCUGGAGAGCAGCUUUUCCUUCCACCGGAAGGGGAGGCCAUUUCGUCAAGAAGCAGGGCCAGAAGUGGUAUGAAGCUACCUCUCCCAUCUGUGGUAAGGGGGAGCAUAUGGUAAGGAUCCUGAAUUUCUACCGUCUGAAGACCGUACAGUCAGGACACAAGAUCCACGUAAGCAACAAAUUUAAUAAGCUUUUCAUUUUAACCGAAGGGCAGGGUUUUCAAAGUGCACUUAAGUUUCCUCAGCUGAAACGAUCCCUGCCUUGCCUGGGAAGUGGCACCUAUCAUGUCCUGCCCCCCAAGCCCUUAGAGACCUUCGAGGGGAAAAAGGGACUUGGAAGGCUUCUAAUGCACAUUUCCGUCCCUUCUGGAGUUGCCUCCUGACUCAACACUCCAGGGUGUUUGGGGCAGCCCUCUAGGAGGGGACCGAAAGCUUGAUAAAAGUGAGUNCUUUACCCACCCAAACCUGGGGGUAUNAGGAGCCCUUUAUCCACCCAGACCUGGGGGUAUCAGGAGCCCACCACCUGAGACUGAACACAAAGAUGUGUAGAGAGGAAAUGGGUGGGGAGUCCUACUGGAGGGCAGAAAAGGGAACCGGCCAGCCCCACGCAGCCUCCUCUGGGGCACAGCAAUGCAGGUCACAUGCGCAGAGACAAAGCGAUUGCAAGGCCACAAUUCCCCCUGGCCAUGCGCUCUUGGUGGGUGGAGAAGCAAUGUUCCUGAGAAAGCAUCACCACAAUGAACUGGAGGGAAGACAGUCCUGGCCUGCUGGUGGGGGUUGGGAACUGGGCUGUGGUUCUCCAUUCAGCUUUGACAUCUACUAACCUGGCUUUUCAUCUCAAGAAAUAAGAAGUAGUAUGGACCGCAGUGGAGCUCGGAGAGGUUAGGGCCAUACCCUUGCAUAUUUUGACUUUCAAGGGUCCAUCAUCUCAUUUUUCUCUUUCCUUCAUUAUAUUGAGUAGAAGCUCACCAGAAGACACNGGAAAGAAACACGAAAUCAGCCACAAGCACUGGAGACUUCACGGUCCCUGGAGAAGCGCCUUUUCAUUCCAGAGGAAGGAGAGGCCAUUUUGUCCAGGAAGCUGUGUCAACUGCUGUAGAGUCCAGCAUGAGAAGACCCAGUUGCUGCCAGUCUCUGGAGACAGCUCUGAGGGAAAGAGGCCAAGGGGCAGAAGUGGCAUAAAGNUAACUUCCCCUCCUAGCCUUGCUCUGAAACCCAGUGGCACUGAGAAUGUGGCCUCAAAGGCCAAGUUUUUUUUGCAGUUUGCCAACAGGAAGGGCAAGGCACGAAUAGCUGGAUGGCCCUUUGUGCCCCGUGGCCCAAGAGGAAGCUGCCUAGGGAAGCAAGGGGUGGGCAGCCAUCCCAGAGUGGAGCGUAACCCACCCCACCAAGACAUUCCCAGCCGACGUCAGUGGGUCACGAAGGGUCGCAACCCANUCCGAAAGCUGCUUCCACGGAUACAUUGCCAAAUGCCUUAAAGAGANGAUCAGCCACCGGAGUCUUUGGAGAGCGAAAGGAGGUGGGUGAAGCCCUCUCUGAUCCCCUUGGUUGCAGGGUUG